rnacentral:rRNA from 1 species
UACGGAGGGUGCAAGCGUUAAUCGGAAUUAUUGGGCGUAAAGAGCUCGUAGGCGGCCUGUUGCGUCCGCUGUGAAAGCCCGGGGCUUAACCCCGGGUCUGCAGUGGAUACGGGCAGGCUAGAGGUAGGUAGGGGAGAAUGGAAUUCCCGGUGUAGCGGUGAAAUGCGCAGAUAUCGGGAGGAACACCGGUGGCGAAGGCGGUUCUCUGGGCCUUACCUGACGCUGAGGAGCGAAAGCGUGGGGAGCGAACAGG